AUUCUUACAGUACCGUCAAAUUCCUCACGAGGGAGUGUUUCUUCCUGUAUAAAAGCAGUUUACAACCCAUAGGGCCGUCUUCCUGCACGCGGCAUGGCUGGAUCAGGCUCUCGCCCAUUGUCCAAUAUUCCUC
rnacentral:rRNA from 1 species